rnacentral:lncRNA from 1 species
CCUAGAUUGGUUGUGGCCUCCCAGAACUACAGCUGCCAUGGUACAUGAUCCAGCUAUCAUGUCUACAAUAAAUAAUGAAAUCAAGUUAAUUAAAACAAACAUAUGAUCAACUAAACAUGAGAUUAAUAUCAGUUUAAAAUUUUUACUAAUCUAUCUACUAUAACAUGUAUGACAAUGGAGCCAUCGAUGUACUUGAUCGGAUCCAGUUGGGCGGUCCGAUUUUGUUGGGCUCUCUGCUAUCUACUGGAGUACUUCUCACUAUUCCACUGAUCUCAAAAAGCCUCCCAUACAUCCGUCUGCAUCCAAUAAUCUGUGAAAGACUUUCAAUCCAAUAGUGACUCGAAACUAGAGAACUCAAUGGCAGCCUGCCUGAGGUGGUACAGCCCAUCUCGAAGCCACAUGUG